rnacentral:tRNA from 1 species
GCGGAUGUGGUGUAGUCGGCAACAUAAGAGCUUGCCAAGCUCUUGUCACGGGUUCAAGUCCCGUCAUUCGCUCCA